UAUGGCCAUAACCCAUUAAAACAUUGGUUCUCAUAAAAUUACCAAAGUUAAGCAAAGUUGAGCCUGUGCCGUACCUAGAUGGGUGACUGCUUGAGAAUACCAGGUGCUGUAAG